UAUUUUUUUUAAUUUUAUUUUUUGGUAUUGCAUAUCAGUAUAGGUUUUUAUCAUAGUUUAUGAAUAAUAGAAUUUAAGUGUUAAGACUGGAUUUAUUUUUUUUUUUUACGAAAUUAAUGAUAUCCUUGUUUAGUAUUGAUAUAACGUAUUUUUAUUUCUGUUUUUUUAAUUUUUAUGAGUUAAGUUAUAUUUUUUUUGUGUGUGUUUUAAAAUUUUUUUUGUUGUUUUAUGAAUGUUGUGUGUUUUACAUAGAUUUUUUUUUUUUUUUUUUUUUUUUGAUUAAUUUUUUAAUUAAUUUAUAAUCUUUGCUUUUAGUAAUUUUUUAUUUAUUUGUGUUUUUUGUUUUUGAAUUUUUGUUUUUGAACUGGUUUUGUUGCUAAAUGUUUAUUAAAAACUUAGGUUUUUAUAUAAAGUUGUCUUCUGCUCUAUGAUUUUUUUAAAUGGCAGCCUUAGCGUGAUGGCAUAAAAGUAGCGUAAGUGAUUUGUUUUUUUAAUGUUUUCAAGUAUGAAUGAAGUUUUUAGCAACUUUUUUGCUUAUAUUUUAUUUGAAUUAUUUUUUUGAUUAAAAAUUAUUGGUUAGAGUAUUACAAAGAUAAGUCUUCGGAAAUUUUGUUUUGAAUUUUAAAGUUUUUAAUUUUUAAUAUUUUCUUGGGGAUGGAUUUUAUGAAAUUUUUAUACUAUUAUUAUUUUUAAAAAUUACUCCGGAGUUAACAGGGUUGUAGACAUAUAAAUAGGUUUUUAUAUUAGUGUGCUGCGCUACAUCGAUGUUGUAUAUUUUUUUUUGAAAUGGAGAGAAUUUUUUUGUUUUGAGACUGUUCUUCUUGUAUAAAAAAUUGACUUGAUAUUAGUUUAGUUCGUCGUGAGACAGAGCGGUUUAUCUUGUAUAUUUUUUGUAUUUGAUGGUGUUAGUACGAAAGGAACGCAAUAUGGAUUUAUAUUUAUGAUCUUUUUAUUUUGAUGGA
rnacentral:rRNA from 1 species